rnacentral:rRNA from 1 species
GAGCCGGAAAUAUCCGAAUGGGGCAACCCUAAAUACUACCUGUUGAAUAUAUAGACAGGAAAGAGCCAACCCAGCGAACUGAAACAUCUUAGUAGCUGGAGGAAGAGAAAUCAAAACAGAGAUUCCCUCAGUAGUGGUGAGCGAAAGGGGAAGAGCCUAAACCAAAGGAUUUAUCUUUUGGGGUAGUGGGACAGCAAUAUCGAAUCUGGAGACUAGACGAAACAGCUAAAUACUGUACCAGAGGGGGUGAAAGUCCCGUAGUCGAAAGUCAAAGGAUAGUAGCUGCAUCCCGAGUAGUACGGAGCACGAGGAAUUCCGUAUGAAUCAGCGAGGACCACCUCGUAAGGCUAAAUACUACUGUGUGACCGAUAGAGAACAAGUACCGCGAGGGAAAGGUGAAAAGAACCCCGGAAGGGGAGUGAAAUAGAACAUGAAACCAUAAGCUUACAAGCAGUGGGAGUCCGAUUAAACGGAUGACCGCGUGCCUGUUGAAGAAUGAGCCGGCGACUUAUAGGCACUGGUAGGUUAAAGCGAGAAUGCUGGAGCCAAAGGGAAACCGAGUCUGAAGAGGGCGAAAAUCAGUGUUUAUAGACCCGAACCCUGGUGAUCUAACCAUGUCCAGGAUGAAGCUUGGGUAACACCAAGUGGAGGUCCGAACCGACUGAUGUUGAAAAAUCAGCGGAUGAGGUGUGGUUAGGGGUGAAAUACCAAUCGAACCAGGAGCUAGCUGGUUCUCCCCGAAAUGUGUUGAGGCGCAGCGGUUGUGAUUAAAUCUGGGGGGUAAAGCACUGUUUCGGUGCGGGCUGGGAGACCGGUACCAAAUCGAGACAAACUCAGAAUACCCAGAGAACACACAGCCAGUGAGACAGUGGGGGAUAAGCUUCAUUGUCAAGAGGGAAACAGCCCAGACCACCAGCUAAGGUCCCCAAAUCAUCACUAAGUGAUAAAGGAGGUGAGAAUGCCUAGACAACUAGGAGGUUUGCCUAGAAGCAGCCACCCUUGAAAGAGUGCGUAAUAGCUCACUAGUCAAGCGUUCUUGCGCCGAAAAUGAACGGGGCUAAGUGAUGUACCGAAGCUGUGGGAUUACUAAUCAUAAUCGGUAGGGGAGCGUUCCGUAGUAGGGAGAAGCAGUAGCGGCAAGCAGCUGUGGACGAAACGGAAGUGAGAAUGUCGGCUUGAGUAGCGCAAAUGUAUGUGAGAAUCAUACACCCCGAAACCCUAAGGGUUCCAGAGCCAGGUUCGUCCACUCUGGGUUAGUCGGGACCUAAGGCGAGGCCGAAAGGCGUAGUCGAUGGACAAAGUGUCAAUAGUCACUUACUGUUCU